rnacentral:rRNA from 1 species
UACAGAGGUCUCAAGCGUUGUUCGGAUUCAUUGGGCGUAAAGGGUGUGUAGGUGGCGCUGUAAGUCGGGUGUGAAAUUUCGGAGCUUAACUCCGAAACUGCAUUCGAUACUGCGGUGCUUGAGGACUGGAGAGGAGACUGGAAUUCAUGGUGUAGCAGUGAAAUGCGUAGAGAUCAUGAGGAAGACCAGUGGCGAAGGCGGGUCUCUGGACAGUUCCUGACACUGAGACACGAAGGCCAGGGGGAGCAAACGGG